UCUAAGUCUCCUAGAAAGUUUCUCUCUUCUGUUUGGAAAUUCUGCUAAGCUCUGCUGCAGAUGAAGAGGAAGACAAGCCAAGUUAUCCUUCAGACAGGAAAUGGGAUGUUGGUGGUGGCCCCAAGAAGUGCACAGACUCUGAACUGGAAGAUGAGAGACCACUGUGGAAGGGAUCCAGG
rnacentral:lncRNA from 9 species